rnacentral:rRNA from 1 species
CCUACGGGCGGCAGCAGUGGGGAAUAUUGCACAAUGGGGGAAACCCUGAUGCAGCAACGCCGCGUGGGUGAAGGAGCGUUUCGGCGCGUAAAGCCCUGUCAGCGGGGAAGAAGAAAGACGGUACCCGACCAAGAAGCCCCGGCUAACUACGUGCCAGCAGCCGCGGUAAUACGUAGGGGGCGAGCGUUAUCCGGAAUUACUGGGUGUAAAGGGAGCGUAGACGGCGAGGUAAGCCUGAAGUGGAAGCCCGCGGCCCAACCGCGGAACUGCUUUGGGGACUGUUUGGCUGGAGUAUGGGGGGAGUACGCGGAAGUCCUGGUGUGUCGGGGCGAUGUGGAGAUACCAGGA